rnacentral:rRNA from 1 species
UUUUUGCGAGCGCGAAUGUGGUUUUGAACCUGCGGGGCGUUCAUGAGGGCCAGAGCCUGCGGAAUGGAUCCUUGGAUCUCGUCGCGGGGCAGGCUCGGAUCGUAACCGAACGCACUUUGAAAGAGCUUGCGUGGACCGCGCCUGCGAUUGCGCUUCUUCUUCAUCUCCAUCUGGUCGGCCAUCUCCAUGGCUUCCAUGUCCUCCGAAUCGGCCGGGCCGAGGUUGUCCGUGUCGCCGAUCGGAGCGAGCGGCGGAACCUUGUUGAUGGGCCUGUCCAAGUCGAGCGGCGCGGCGGAGUCGGUCU